CCUACGGGUGGCAGCAGUGAGGAAUAUUGGUCAAUGGCCGGAAGGCUGAACCAGCCAUGCCGCGUGAAGGUCAGUGCCCUAUGGGCGUUAAACUUCUUUUGUGCGGGAGCAAUAAUGGUCACGUGUGGCCAGACGAGAGUACCGUACGAAUAAGCAUCGGCUAACUCCGUGCCAGCAGCCGCGGUAAUACGGGAGAUGCAAGCGUUAUCCGGAUUUAUUGGGUUUAAAGGGUGCGUAGGCUGUGAGGUAAGUCAGCGGUGAAAUGCCCCCGCUCAACGGGGUGAAGUGCCAUUGAUACUGCCUGGCUGGAAUGCGGAUGCGGUGGGAGGAAUGUGUGGUGUAGCGGUGAAAUGCAUAGAGAUCACACAGAACACCGAUUGCGAAGGCAUCUCACGAAUCCGCGAUUGACGCUGAUGCACGAAAGCGUGGGUAUCAAACAGGAUUAGAUACCCCAGUAGUC
rnacentral:rRNA from 1 species